rnacentral:misc_RNA from 1 species
CUAAGGAGCAUUCUCCGGUCGGGGUUCCGAACAGUCGGGGCCGCCGUCGGCAGAGCCACUACGAGCCCGAAUGUGGUUCGGUGGAAGCUCAUGGGUGGAACGCUGGCAUGUGCCUCACGUUUCGGUUGCUCUCGAUGGGGUGGCCGGUGGGGAUGUAGUCGACACACUGUUGGGUCCUGAAAGAACAGACGUUCUUUCCAGGCAAGAAAUACGACAGGACUGAUUCUCAGUCAUACCGCGGGAGCUUUGGUUUCCGGUCUGGUGCUGGUCAAGGGUUGGUCUUGUGUGUUGUUUGAGAACUGCACAGUGGACGCGAGCAUCUUUGUUUGUAAGUGUGUAAGAGCGUUC